GGGCGUAAGAGCUCGUAGGCGGCUUGUCACGUCGGGUGUGAAAGACCCGGGGCUUAACCCCGGGUCUGCAUUCGAUACGGGCUAGCUAGAGUGUGGUAGGGGAGAUCGGAAUUCCUGGUGUAGCGGUGAAAUGCGCAGAUAUCAGGAGGAACACCGGUGGCGAAGGCGGAUCUCUGGGCCAUUACUGACGCUGAGGAGCGAAAGCGUGGGGAGCGAACAGGAUUAGAUACCCUGGUAGUCCACGCCGUAAACGGUGGGAACUAGGUGUUGGCGACAUUCCACGUCGUCGGUGCCGCAACUAACGCAUUAGGUUCCCCGCCUGGGGCGUACGGCCGCAAGGC
rnacentral:rRNA from 1 species